GGGGGCGACAUGGCUUCGACGUGGAUUACAAACCCUGGGGAGCAUGCAGUGGAUGUGGUGACCACUUAAACACUAGUCACAAACAAUAGUCGCAAACGACGACUCUUACGCUCUCGCAGCUUAAUAACCUGUUGAGUGCUGUCUGACCGGACUCGUGCUUGUGCGACCGGAUUACAGGCAUCAUCUAACACAAGAUCGUACCAAAACUUGUCUAGGGUGGCGGUGCUAAAACCUAACUAGACUCACCUCCAGAACAGCCUGUCAAUCGGCGGGGUGGAGGUUAAAUAAAAGAUUGAAUAAGCAUGUAGCGCCUUCAGGCAGCGGAUUUGCGGACGGGGGUUCAAUUCCCCCCGCCUCCACCA
rnacentral:tmRNA from 1 species